rnacentral:lncRNA from 1 species
CUACUUUUCUUGCCAAAUUAUCCAAAACAAGUGAAACCUUAACUUCAAAUGUUCUUGGACCUAAGUUUAGGAUUUUAAGACCUAAAACUAGAAGACUAAAGCUACAAAAUAAGAGUAAUACUCGAUCAAUUCAUCCAAGUCUAAUGAAAAAUAAGCCUAAGGAGUCUAUUUAUAGCUUAUUACAUGAAAGACCAAAAUAUCCUUAAUGAAGGGUGCUCCUUUUGAGUGUAAAAAGGGAGUCAAAAGACCAUAAUGUCCCUAAGUUGAGGCGCCUUUCGAGUAUAUUCAAGGCUUCCUUGGAAUGUAUUAAAUGCUCUUCUUCACAUUUUAGCAAAUACACUCCCUUGGUUGAAGG